rnacentral:rRNA from 1 species
GACUUCGGUUUUAAACCUAGCGGCGAACGGUCGCGUAACACGUAAGCAACCUGCCUCAAAGACCGGGAUAACAUUCCGAAAGGAUUGCUAAUACCGGAUGUGGCCACCUUUAUGCAUGUAGGGGUGAUUAAACCGAGCAAUCGGCUUUGAGAGGGGCUUGCGGCCUAUCAGCUAGUUGGUGGGGUAACGGCCUACCAAGGCGACGACGGGUAGCUGGUCUGAGAGGAUGUCCAGCCGGACUGGGACUGAGAUACGGCCCAGACUCCUACGGGGGGCAGCAAUUAGGAAUCUUGCGCAAUGGGCGAAAGCCUGACGCAGCGACGCCGCGUGGGGGAGGAAGGCCUUCGGGUUGUAAACCCCUUUUAUCCGGGAAGAACAAAAUGACGGUACCGGAUGAAUAAGCCACGGCUAACUCCGUGCCAGCAGCCGCGGUAAUACGGAGGUGGCGAGCGUUGUCCGAAGUUACUGGGCGUAAAGCGCGCGUAGGCGGGUAAGUAAGUGAGGGGUGAAAGGCUGAGGCUCAACCUCAUGUUUGUCCUCUCAUACUGUUUAUCUUGAGUGAGGCAGGGAGAAGUGGAAUGGCUGGUGUAGCGGUGAAAUGCGUAGAUAUCAGUCGGAACACCGGUGGCGAAGGCGGCUUCUUGGGCCUUUACUGACGCUGAGGCGCGAAAGCUGGGGGAGCGAACGGGAUUAGAUACCCCGGUAGUCCCAGCCGUAAACGAUGGACACUAGGUGUCGGGGGUAUCGACCCCUCCGGUGCCGCAGCUAACGCAUUAAGUGU